UACGAAGGGGGCGAGCGUUGUUCGGAAUCACUGGGCGUAAAGCGUGCGUAGGCGGCGAUGAAAGUUAGGAGUGAAAGCCCAGGGCUUAACCUUGGAAUUGCUUUUAAAACUACAUCGCUCGAAUCUCGGAGAGGAUAGCGGAAUUGUCAGUGUAGCAGUGAAAUGCGUAGAUAUUGACAGGAACACCAGUGGCGUAGGCGAGACUCUGGACAGUUCCUGACGCUGAGGCACGAAGGCCAGGGGAGCAAACGGG
rnacentral:rRNA from 1 species